GAGCUGUGAGGGUGUCACCAUGGCCUGGACCCCUCUCCUGCUCCCCCUCCUCACUCUCUGCACAGGUUCCGUGUCCUCCUAUGAGCUGACACAGCCACCCUCCGUGUCAGUGUCCCUAGGACAGACAGCAAGGGUCACCUGCUCUGGUGACAAACUUGAUGAAAGAUACAUCUACUGGUACCAGCAGAAAGCAGGCCAGGCCCCUGUGCUGGUGAUAUAUGAAGAUAGUAAGCGGCCCUCGGGGAUCCCUGAGCGGUUCUCUGGGUCCAGCUCAGGGAACACGGCCACCCUGACCAUCAGCGGGGCCCAAGCUGGGGAUGAGGCUGAUUAUUACUGUGGCAGAAGUGAUGGCAGUGGGAACAGCUGGCAGUGCCUCACAGUGACACAGACAGAUGGGGAAGUGGGACAGGAACCUCCCUAG